rfam:Myotis lucifugus cont2.14182, whole genome shotgun sequence.
GGCUUCCCUCUGUGGGGUGAUCGAUUAUGGGCCCCCAGAUCGAUCGCCCCACAGAGGGAGGCC